CUUUCUCCAGAAAGAUGCUCUUCCUCUAGGACACAUGACAACUCUUCUUUGCCUGGGUGGCAACAGCAGGGCUGCACGGAAUGGUACCAGCUAUGUGAGUCAUCGUGCUGGCGACUGGAGUCGUGCUGAUGAGUGAAGCAGUCACAAAGAUGACAGUUGAGGAGAGGAGACAGAUACUGAGUCAAUAAUGCAUCCAUGUGGUGACGUAAAUACUGGGCCUUGGCAACCAGUGAUCCACUGUGUCAUGCAGACGCCUCAUCUCGGGCAAUGCCAACAGUGUUUCUGCAGACACAUCUUUAUCCAGGAUUCCAAACAGGAGAGGGGGCACGGACGUAAAGAAGAGAUUGAAGAAUAUCAUCUGCCAGUAGUCGAUCAUGGUGGAGCCAGUGAAGCCACAGAAGAACUGAUACCAGAAGAGCAGCAUGACAUAGCACUGCACACACAGAACAGCCCUGGUAAGUAAGCAGCAUGUCUCAGAUUGGAUGCCUGGAAGAAACUCCAGUGUUGAACUCCACAGUCAAUUCAAUGUUCACAUUU